rnacentral:tRNA from 1 species
GGCCUCGUAGCUCAAUUGACUAGAGCCUUGAUUGUACUUAAGCGUUCCCCUUGCUGGCGUGGGUUCGAAUCUUACCGAGGCCA